ensembl:snRNA U6 U6 spliceosomal RNA
GUGCUGGCUUCAGCAGCAUAUAUACUAAAAUUGGAAGGAUAUAGAAAAGAUUAGCAUUGUUCCUGCAAAAGGAUGAUAUGCAAAUUCAUGAAGUAUUUUAUAUUUUU